rnacentral:rRNA from 1 species
UACGUAGGGUGCAAGCGUUGUUCGGAAUCACUGGGCGUAAAGGGUGCGUAGGCGGGUCUUUAAGUCAGGGGUGAAAUCCUGGAGCUCAACUCCAGAACUGCCUUUGAUACUGAAGAUCUUGAGUUCGGGAGAGGUGAGUGGAACUGCGAGUGUAGAGGUGAAAUUCGUAGAUAUUCGCAAGAACACCAGUGGCGAAGGCGGCUCACUGGCCCGAUACUGACGCUGAGGCACGAAAGCGUGGGGAGCAAACAGG